GACGAACGCUGGCGGCGUGCUUAACACAUGCAAGUCGAACGGAAAGGCCCUGCUUGCAGGGUACUCGAGUGGCGAACGGGUGAGUAACACGUGGGUGAUCUGCCCUACACUUCGGGAUAAGCCUGGGAAACUGGGUCUAAUACCGGAUAGGAGCCAUUUUUAGUGUGAUGGUUGGAAAGUUUUUUCGGUGUAGGAUGAGCUCGCGGCCUAUCAGCUUGUUGGUGGGGUAAUGGCCUACCAAGGCGGCGACGGGUAGCCGGCCUGAGAGGGUGGACGGCCACAUUGGGACUGAGAGACGGCCCAGACGCCGACGGGAGGCAGCAGUGGGGAAUAUUGCACAAUGGGCGAAAGCCUGAUGCAGCGACGCCGCGUGGGGGAUGACGGCCUUCGGGUUGUAAACUCCUUUCGCUAGGGACGAAGCUUUUUGUGACGGUACCUAGAUAAGAAGCACCGGCUAACUACGUG
rnacentral:rRNA from 1 species